CGACCCUUUUAAAUAGGUCCUGAGAGGCCUAAAAGGGGUUGACGGGUUUUGUUAACUCCCGGAGGCCUCCGGGAGUUUUUUUAU
rfam:Carboxydothermus hydrogenoformans Z-2901, complete genome.